GUGCCUGGUGUCACAGAGCAACUGAAGCUGGGAACUUCAAGAUCGAUCGUUGCAAAGAGACCGCUGGCUGAAUCAGAUGAUGACCAAUGUGGGGAAUAUUGAAUGAUACGAUCCCAUCUUUUACUAGGAUACCCAUAUUCCAACUACUGUUAUGUGGUUUAUUACUAAUGCUUCAAUUAUACACAAAUGGCACCUCACCUAAGUGUUACAGUGACAGCCACACAAACACCAAUCAUACCAGCUCAUUCCCAUGCUAAUUGACCGGCUGGAGCAGGACCACCACCUCUCAACACAGCAUGGCCACACUAGACUUGAGGAAUCCUUGUCAUAGGAAGAAAAGCACAGCAGGUGGUGUGCUUCUGGUCACCUGGUGAUUUACAAGCUGUCUUUCUCCUUGCAUUAUCUGUUCAGUGCAUGGAGGAGGGGAAGGAAGAGGCUGCUCAAACUGGCAGGUUCUCCUGACCACGUGUCCUUCUACUGGCAGCUGUGUGGGUGUGAUGGGGAUGGAAGGGAUGCAUCCCGGCAGUUGGCAAGGCUGCUGCAAGCUGUUCCUAGGAGGUGGGAACAAUCAUCACCUGGAAGCCAGCCCAUCUCAGAUCCACUCUCCUCCCACAGCUCAGGACAGCCUGGUGAUGGAUAAGGCCUUCUCGAUGUUCUUUUAGGCUUUUGCAGAAGCCUCAUGAAGAGACUGCAAGGUCUCAGCAAGAAGACUGAUUUUGCGUCAGAUCCAAGCCUCUGAGAGAGCCUGCAAGCGCUGAGCUACUGCCAACCCACAGGGAAUGAGUCCGGAGGGUACUGUUUGGGUAACAGUGGAACCCAAGAGAGUUUGUUUAGCUGUAGAUGCAAUACGAAUUGUUCCUGCAGUUUAUUUUUAUAUGCUUAGAGGGUGAAUGAAUUUGGAAGAGUUGGAGAGAAUCAGAGAAUUAGCAGAAUGAAUUAUUAUUGGGGGUUAUUUAUACAAAAUGAGAGAAAUAUAUCUCCUGGUGCAACAGUGUAUGUCCAGGACUAAUGUGAGUUGCUGCUUUUGCAGUAAUGCCUACUGGGAAAUAUUUACAAGAAGCUUUUUCCCCCAAUAAGGAAAAGACCAAGAUACAGAAGAGUUCCCCCAGAUGAAGGCAUCAGGGAAAGACUGGUCUGUAGCAGGGAAACCUAGGCAAUGAGUGCUGAGAGCCCGGCGGGAGAGGAUUGUGGAGCCCCAGUCCUGGCCAGUCUGGUCCCAGAGGGCUGCAGUGUACAUGGCUAGUCUGGUCAUGUCAACUAUCCCACCAGUGCAAGAGAGACAUAGCGAGCCCACCUGCAGACACCUCACCCUGGACAAACAAGAUUGGACGUGGCAUCAAGGGACUCUGUUUGGAGAUAUACAAUGGAGAGGAAAUCAAUGCUGAAAGACUGUGAAAAAUAAAUGCACAAAGAUGAUUUAGGAUGUUUUUUAGCUUUUGGGAAGAAGAGGGCUAUCCCAAGCAUGUGGGAAACACAGGACAGCUAAAAAGCUUUGGUGGGGGGAGCACAGAGGAAGACUUUAUUCCCUGGUUUGGCUGUUACCUGGCACAGAGGAGGGGAGCACUUUCUCCAAGGGGCCCGUGACACAGCCAGCCACGUUUGCAGCCUUCAGCUGAACGGCAAGAACACUGUAAGUCGUGUCCACACAAUGUUGUCGAACUGUUACUAGAUGCAGUGUUAGGAUUACACCUACUGAGGCAAAAAUAGACCUGUGGAUCCACCUUGGGCAUGCAGCGCAUGAUUAGGAGUGUGUCA